CGCUAAGGUGGCCUGAAUGGUUAAGACAUCCGCCUCGGAUGCGGGUGAUCGCGGGUUCGAAUCCCGGCCGAGUGA